UACGGAGGGAGCUAGCGUUGUUCGGAAUUACUGGGCGUAAAGCGCACGUAGGCGGCUUGCCAAGUUCGAUGUGAAAUCUCCCGGCUCAACUGGGAGGGUGCAUCGAAAACUGGCAGGCUUGAGGCAGGGAGAGGGAUGUGGAAUUCCAGGUGUAGUGGUGAAAUGCGUAGAGAUCGGGAAGAACAUCAGUGGCGAAGGCGGCCUGCUGGGCUGUUGCUGACGCUGAGGCGCGGACAGCGUGGGGAGCAAACGAGG
rnacentral:rRNA from 1 species